rnacentral:rRNA from 1 species
AGUGAACGCUGGCGGUAGGCCUAACACAUGCAAGUCGAACGGCAGCACAGUAAGAGCUUGCUCUUACGGGUGGCGAGUGGCGGACGGGUGAGGAAUACAUCGGAAUCUACUUUUUCGUGGGGGAUAACGCGGGGAAACUUACGCUAAUACCGCAUACGACCUACGGGUGAAAGCAGGGGAUCUUCGGACCUUGCGCGAUUGAAUGAGCCGAUGUCGGAUUAGCUAGUUGGCGGGGUAAAGGCCCACCAAGGCGACGAUCCGUAGCUGGUCUGAGAGGAUGAUCAGCCACACUGGAACUGAGACACGGUCCAGACUCCUACGGGAGGCAGCAGUGGGGAAUAUUGGACAAUGGGCGCAAGCAUGAUCCAGCCAUACCGCGUGGGUGAAGAAGGCCUUCGGGUUGUAAAGCCCUUUUGUUGGGAAAGAAAAGCAGCAGGUUAAUACCCCGCUGUUCUGACGGUACCCAAAGAAUAAGCACCGGCUAACUUCGUG